AUUGAACGCUGGCGGCAGGCCUAACACAUGCAAGUCGAGCGGAUGAAGGGAGCUUGCUCCUGGAUUCAGCGGCGGACGGGUGAGUAAUGCCUAGGAAUCUGCCUGGUAGUGGGGGAUAACGUCCGGACACGGGCGCUAAUACCGCAUACGUCCUGAGGGAGAAAGUGGGGGAUCUUCGGACCUCACGCUAUCAGAUGAGCCUAGGUCGGAUUAGCUAGUUGGUGGGGUAAAAGCCUACCAAGGCGACGAUCCGUAACUGGUCUGAGAGGAUGAUCAGUCACACUGGAACUGAGACACGGUCCAGACUCCUACGGGAGGCAGCAGUGGGGAAUAUUGGACAAUGGGCGAAAGCCUGAUCCAGCCAUGCCGCGUGUGUGAAGAAGGUCUUCGGAUUGUAAAGCACUUUAAGUUGGGAGGAAGGGCAGUAAGUUAAUACCUUGCUGUUUUGACGUUACCAACAGAAUAAGCACCGGCUAACUUCGUG
rnacentral:rRNA from 1 species